AUGUGAGCAAUCUGAUUGGUGUUGGGAGGGGACCAAUCAGAUGGUACUUUCAUAUUUUAAUUGCCACAGAGAAAAAGGAGGGAUUAAAAACUGAGUAGCCUCUGAUAAUACAGUCGGCAUGAAUCAACCUUAGGUUCUCUGCCUGUAGACCCUAUUUUCCUGCUUCAUAUCCUCAUUAAGAGACAUGAUUCCCAUAAAUCUUUGUGGAAGGCAGAAAGAGCUUCCUCUGUUACUGCUUCGUGCUGACAUGGGUCACAGUCCCUACCUAUUGAGGACCAUGGAACUCAUCCUGCCCUGUCUAGUGGAGAUAAGAGAGAAAGAUACUCAAUCCAAAAAAAGAAGAAAUAUGGAGAAGAGGAAAAUGAGGGACAAGAAAAAAUAAGACAAAUUAAUAGUGAGAUCAGUAUAGUCCAGAUUAGUAAAACAACCUGAAGUAACACGAUGUUUAAGAAGUCACUCUGAAUAACAAGGAGACAAAAAGGAGCCUUAUCUUAAAGUUUACAAUGAAUAAAAUGAAUUUUUGAAAUUGCA
rnacentral:lncRNA from 13 species